rnacentral:lncRNA from 1 species
AUUAUUUCGGUACGUUUGCCAAAUCGCUUUGCAUGAUUAGCCUUCACAAGGAACAUUCAAAACCAAACAUUUUGAAAGCCAGGGAUUUGUCUUUACGAUAAUUUUGUGUUGGUGAUAUUUAUUUUGUCACCCAUAUUACACUCACUUACACCUUGAAUAGAAUAAUGUCGACAUUCACUUAAAAAAAAUCAAAAAAAAAUCACUCGGGAUUAACAAUGUUAGUUGAUUAGAUUUUUUGUGACAUCUAGAUACGGGAAAAUCAGAUCUAUAUUCUAAUCUGGUGUUUUUUUUUUAGGUUACUGUCUCAUAAAAGACGUUUGCCCUAUCUGUUGUUUAUUUGUUUGUAGUGAAUGGAAAUGAAAGAGAAUAUGAGAUGGAAACGGAGUCAAAAGAUUUUGAAUAAAAAAACGAAAAGAGAACUGUUUAUUAAACUACUACGAAACUUGGUAUAUAAAUAAGUGCAAUAGUAGUAUACCGCUGUUCUAAAGUCAACAAUCGAUUGAGAGAAACAACUGGGUUACAAACUAAACCCGAGGGGAAACACAUCAACUACAAGAGGAAAACUGAAGUGCAACAAAAACAAACUCCAAAAUAUAUAGAAACGAACUAUUUGCCAUGAAAACAACUGCCAUAUUCCUGACUUGGUUCAGAAGUAUUUGAAGCAAAAAUGGUUGGCUGAACCUGGUUAACUAGAUAAACUUCACUAAAUGUUGUAUUACCAGGCG